GAUGAACGCUGGCGGCGUGCCUAAUACAUGCGAGUCGAGCGAACAGACGAGGAGCUUGCUCCUCUGACGUUAGCGGCGGACGGGUGAGUAACACGUGGAUAACCUACCUAUAAGACUGGGAUAACUUCGGGAAACCGGAGCUAAUACCGGAUAACAUGUUGAACCGCAUGGUUUAACAGUGAAAGACGGUCUUGCUGUCACUUAUAGAUGGAUCCGCGCCGCAUUAGCUAGUUGGUAAGGUAACGGCUUACCAAGGCAACGAUGCGUAGCCGACCUGAGAGGGUGAUCAGCCACACUGGAACUGAGACACGGUCCAGACUCCUACGGGAGGCAGCAGUAGGGAAUCUUCCGCAAUGGGCGAAAGCCUGACGGAGCAACGCCGCGUGAGUGAAGAAGGUCUUCGGAUCGUAAAACUCUGUUAUUAGGGAAGAACAAAUGUGUAAGUAACUAUGCACGUCUUGACGGUACCUAAUCAGAAAGCCACGGCUAACUACGUG
rnacentral:rRNA from 1 species